CCAGCUACAAUAGUCAUUUACAACAUUAACAAUGUCUACACUGUAUUUCUGAUCAAUUUGAUGUAAUUUUAAUGGACCAAAAAAUGGCUUUUCUUUCAAAAACAAGGUCAUUUCUAAGUGACCCCAAACCUUUGAACGGUAGAGAGAGAGGGGGGCAGGUAGAGAGAGAGAGUCAGAGACUGAGAGAGAGGGGGGCAGGUAGGGAGUGAGAGAGGGUCAGGUAGAGAGAGAGAGGGGGGCAGGUAGAGAGAGAGAGAGAGAGCCUGAGAGAGAGGGGCAGGUAGGGAGUGAGAGAGGGUCAGGUAGAGAGAGAGAGGGGGCAGGUAGAGAGAGAGAGAGAGAGAGAGAGAGAGAGAGAGAGAGAGGGGGCAGGUAGGGAGUGAGAGAGGGUCAGGUAGAGUGAGAGAGGGGGCAGAGAGAGAGAGAGAGAGAGAGAGAGGAGAGGCAGGUAGAGAGGGUCAGGUGAGAGAGAGGGGGGCAG
ensembl:lncRNA